rnacentral:lncRNA from 1 species
AUGGGAAAUAAGCAAGACGAACUCCAACUCCUAGCACAGCACCACACAUACGAUGUCAUAGGCAUCACUGAAACCUGGUGGGAUGACUCCCAUCACUGGAAUUUAACCAUUGAGGGCUAUAACCUCUUUCACAGAAAUAGAACAAAGGGGAAAGGAGGGGGAGUAGCUUUAUAUGUCAAAAACAGUUACGUUGCAGAAGAAAUGCAAGACUGUAAUCCGGGAAACCAGCUUGAAAUCAUCUGGAUAAGAAUCAAGGGAACCGGGACUCAAAAAGAUCUUGUCGUGGGUGUCUACUACAGACCUCCGAGUCAGGAUGAAGGACUUGAUGAAGCCUUCUGUCAACAGCUAACCAAACAGGCACAAAGAAGAGAUAUAGUAGUCAUGGGCGAUUUCAAUUAUCCCGAUAUCUGCUGGAAAACAAACUCAGCCAAGAGUACAAAGUCCAACAAAUUCCUCACUUGCCUUGCAGACAAUUUUAUGGUCCAGAAGGUAGAAGAGGCAACAAGGGGAUCAGCAACUCUUGAUCUAAUCUUAACAAAUGUGGAAGACCUGAUCAAUACAGUUGAAGUGGUUGGAUCCUUAGGGGCAAGUGACCAUGUGCUCCUGCAGUUUGCAAUACAAAGGAAUGCUGAAACUAAGACAAGUCAAACACGCAUUCUGGACUUUAAGAGAGCUGACUUCCAAAAAAUGAAGGAAUUACUGAGCGGCAUUCCAUGGACGCCGAUAUUAAAAAACAAGGGAGUUAAGGAUGGAUGGGAGUUUUUCAAAAGUGAAAUACUCAAGGCGCAAAUGCAAACAGUGCCAACAAAGAAGAAAAAUAAGACAAGUGCAAAGAAGCCAGAAUGGAUGUCCAAAGAACUUCUAACUGAGCUAAAGCUCAAAAGUGACAUGCACAAGAAGUGGAAAAGGGGAGAAAUCACCAAAGAAGAAUUCAAACGUAUAGCCAACACCUGUAGGGAAAAGGUUCGCAAGGCUAAAGCGCAAAAUGAGCUCAGGCUUGCCAGGGACAUAAAAAACAACAAAAAAGGCUUUUUUGCUUACGUUGGUAGAAAAGGGAAGAAAAAGGAGGCGAUAGGGCCACUGCAAGGAGAAGAUGGGGUGAUGGUGACAGGGGAUAGGGAAAAGGCAGAACUGCUUAAUGCCUUCUUUGCCUCGGUCUUCUCACAAAAAGAAAGCCAUCUUCAACCUCAGCAACAUGGAAUGGACAAAGGAUUGGGGGAAAUCCAACCCCAAAUAGGGAAACAAGUUGUCCAGGAACACCUGGCCACUCUAAAAGAAUUCAAGUCCCCAGGGCUAGAUCAGCUACAUCCAAGAGUACUGAAGGAACUAGCGGAAGUUAUUUCAGAACCACUGACAAUCAUCUUCUAG